rnacentral:lncRNA from 1 species
GUAUCAACACCAUGAAACUGUUUCUCCUCAACUCCUUGAGCCUUCUCUUAACCUCAUUGGUAAUGAAAUCAUCAUCGUCAUCUUCGAUCUCAUCUGUUUUAGCCGAAUCUAUCACACCAGCUUCAGUGUUAUCACUCCUUGCCUGCUCUUGCUGAGCCAAAAUCUUGUCUUCUUUCUCCUUUUCAAGGUUUGGCUUCCGUGACUUUCGAAAUUUUCUAACUCUCAAGAAAUCCAUUGCCUCCUCAAACACACUUGGAAGAGUAGUGUCUGUUUUGUUAAAUCUUAAGAUCUAAAUUGAGACUUGUUUGCAUGAAAGAAGGAUUCUCUUCUGCCCCAACGGACUUAAUCAAAGUAGCAACUAAACCACAGAAUGUGUAAAAUGCAUGAAUCUAGUAGGAUCUCAGAGAAUCAUGACCAAACCCUAGAGAAUCAGAGCAACCGACAGAAGAUGGAAAAUGCAUAAAGAAAGAAUCAAAAUUUUCACAAGAUCAGUAGGAACAAGAGCAUUUGUGUGAAAGUUCAGAUACGAUUCAUAAAUCACUAGCAUUACCUGGUAAAUCAACACUCCACUGAAACUAGUACACUGA